ACCCGCUGAACUUAAGCAUAUCAAUAAGCGGAGGAAAAGAAACCAACAGGGAUUGCCUUAUGUAGCGGCGAGGGAAGCGGCCAAAGCUCAGAUUUGAAAUCUAGCGUCUUAUAGGCGUUCGAGUUGUAAUCGGUAGAGAAGUUAUCGAGUGUGGAUUUGGCUUAAGUUCUUUGGAACAGGACGGCAUAGAGGGUGAGAACCCCGUAUACGGCCUUUGUCUUAUACUCAUGUGAGGCUUCUUCAACGAGUCGAGUUGUUUGGGAAUGCAGCUCUAAAUGGGUGGUAAAUUCCAUCUAAAGCUAAAUACUGGCAAGAGACCGAUAGCGCACAAGUAGAGUGAUCGAAAGAUGAAAAGAACUCUGAACAGAGAGUUAAAUAGUACGUGAAAUUGUUGAAAGGGAAGCACUUGCUACCAGACUCGCUUGCAGUUAAUCAACUAUCCUUCUGGGUGGUGCACUUUUCUGUAGGCGGGCCAGCAUCAGUUGUGUUGGUGGGAUAAAGGCAGUUGGAAUGUGGCUCUCUUCGGAGAGUGUUAUAGACUUCUGUGUAAUACCAUCUAACGCGACUGAGGUCAGCGCUUCGGCGAGGAUGCUGGCAUAAUGGUCGU
rnacentral:rRNA from 1 species